ACCUAUUUUUGUUUUUUCAAUGUUGUUUGAUAAAGAUCUCUUUCACAUUUGUUACAGUCAACCGUCAUGCCAGCCACCAUGAAUGUUCACCGGCUAGCCACUUACAGAGACCGUCUCCAGGCUGGUUCACCGGUGCAACCAGAACUUCAGGCUUUCAGACUUGCUUCUGACAGUCCGGUACAGUGAUUCAACCAAUCUAGAUGUGCUAAACGAACCAGAUUCUCACAUUCCUGAAGAACGUUUCGGUGAUCACGAUUCGCUUCUUGGCCCAGCCAACACCAACACACAUCUUCUAGACGUUAUUACUGAGCUCACUGCUAUGAGAAGUACGGUGAGUGACAUUCCUCAAGUAAAAGAGCGAGUUAUGGCGACUAUGUAGAUCGACAGUCUGUUUGACUCACAAGCGAUCUCUUUUCACAAGAAACUUGAAGGUUGUUGUUGCAAGUAGCAUAAACCCAAAGAUGGUAGGAGGACGUUUGUCACACGUGUUUUUCGACAAGGAAACUGAUGCAGAAGCUAGACAUGUCUCUUUCAUUUAAAGAUCAGUCAAAACAGAACACAUUCAGAUCUCGAUUAUUAAUCUAUAGUACAUGAAGAAGUUUCAGGUAGAUAUUUAUUUCCCUAUGUCAUCUAAUCUUAU